rnacentral:rRNA from 1 species
GACGAACGCUGGCGGCGUGCUUAACACAUGCAAGUCGAACGGAAAGGCCCUGCUUUUGUGGGGUGCUCGAGUGGCGAACGGGUGAGUAACACGUGAGUAACCUGCCCUUGACUUUGGGAUAACUUCAGGAAACUGGGGCUAAUACCGGAUAGGAGCUCCUGCUGCAUGGUGGGGGUUGGAAAGUUUCGGCGGUUGGGGGUGGACUCGCGGCUUAUCAGCUUGUUGGUGGGGUAGUGGCUUACCAAGGCUUUGACGGGUAGCCGGCCUGAAAGGGUGACCGGCCACAUUGGGACUGAGAUACGGCCCAGACUCCUACGGGAGGCAGCAGUGGGGAAUAUUGCACAAUGGGCGGAAGCCUGAUGCAGCAACGCCGCGUGCGGGAUGACGGCCUUCGGGUUGUAAACCGCUUUCGCCUGUGACGAAGCGUGAGUGACGGUAAUGGGUAAAGAAGCACCGGCUAACUACGUG